rnacentral:tRNA from 1 species
GCUGGAUUAGCUCACUCGGUAGAGCACAUCACUCGUAAUGAUGAGGUAGCGAGUUCGAUUCUCGCAUCCAGCUCCA